CGCGUAGGCGGGGAUGCAAGUCAGAUGUGAAAUCUAUGGGCUUAACCCAUAAACUGCAUUUGAAACUGUACCUCUUGAGUGUCGGAGAGGUAGACGGAAUUCCUAGUGUAGCGGUGAAAUGCGUAGAUAUUAGGAGGAACACCAGUGGCGAAGGCGGCUUACUGGACUGUAACUGACGUUGAGGCUCGAAAGCGUGGGGAGCAAACA
rnacentral:rRNA from 1 species